rnacentral:lncRNA from 1 species
AGAAAAAUGUAUUUUGAGAAUGCAUGUUCAGAUGUUUAGUGGAACAUACCUGGAUUGAAAUGAAAAUAUUUUUGCUACUUCUCAAUACACUGGAAUAUCCCCACUAUAAGUGACAAGAAAAUUGGAAAUUAAACCCUAAAAGAAGUAGUACAAUGGAAAGAAAGAACCUCAACAAAUAAUGUGUUUUAGAACCAAUAAACCUUAAAGAAACACAGUUACUGAACUAUAGCAUUGUAAUCUGUUUUUUUUUUAUAUAUAACAAAAUACGAACUAAGUCUUUAAAUGGAUAAAUAAAUUGAUGUAAGGAGAAAAUAAAGGAAAACCACUUAUAUCAUUUUACUAAUCUUUUUGUAGCUAGCUUCACCAUUUCCUUGUCUCCCAUAACAUGUGAGACAGAUCCUAGAAACACAUACCACAAAACAUAAGUCAAAGUGUCUUAUAUAACUAAUGCAAUCAUUAUAAUGUGUAAACAUUUUAAAUUUAAAAUGAUACAAUAAAUAAGAGUUUGGAAGCAUAACUUUAAUAAGGGUAAAACAAGAACGCAAUGUAGUAAUAAAAAGAAAAACAUAAACUGCAUUCUUUUUUGUUGUGUUUACACCUUGAGAAUUAUACGAAAGUAAAUUGCAUUUAUAGAAAAGAGGCAUGUUACAUUAAGGCAUUGUAUUUCAGAAAUUCAAGUGUACCUUGAUACACAGAAAAACCGUAUAGAAACGCAAGUUUUUUCAGAAAAGAAGGGCAUAAGAAAAAACAAUCCCAAGAGGAAAACGACUUUAAAAUGUUUCCUGAAAAGUGGAAGAGAGAAGAAAGAAGAAAUAUGGAAGAGUCCGACCUUCUCUUUUUCAAGCCAAACGUUUAGGCUAUAUGGUGUUCUCUCUUAUUUGGGUAUGCCUAUGUGAAAUGUUUAUUUUUAUCAAUAAUCAUUUAUUUUUGGAAAAUUGAGUAAUCCAACCACUUUGUAAUGGUUUUUUAACCGCAAUAAGAGUAAUUUUGAAAAAUCAUCAUUAGGUCCCGAAUGACCCGUAUUUCAAUCGGAUAACCGGAUAUAGUGAUCACAACCCUGGUAAUGUGGCUCCCUAUAAAAUAACAUUUUGAACCCUAUUAACACUAAAUCUGCACUAAAGUCCCUGAAUUUUGGCUCUAUUAACACAAAAGUCCUUCCUCUUUUUUUUUCAAUUUAGCCCAUAAAACCGGUAAACACUUGCAAAAAAACCAUUGUUCCCCACUAAUGCCAAUUUUCAGGUUUUUCUGAAAGGAUUUUUCUGAAAAUGAACAAAUCAUAUAUGGCUUUCUUGUUAAUAGGGUUUGAGUUUAAAGAUUUUGCUGAAAAUUUUUCCUUUUAUAUCUACUAAAUUAAUUUAAAAAAAACUCAUUUAUUUAUUAAAAAAACUCAAAAUAAAGAUAUCAUUUACAUCAUUUUCACUAGAAAAACUCAUUUUUAUUUAUUAAAAAACAGGAAAAUGAUAAUUUAUUUAUCAUUUUGGGGUUUUUUGUGUUUUCUUCCAUAAAUAUCAUAACAAAAAUCAUGACUAUAUAUCAAUUUUAGCAUGUGUUUUUAUAAGUAUUAUAGCUCUUAUAACAUUCUUUGCAGUUAUUUAAGUUACAUGUUGUAAAACAACUUGAACUUAAUUUGGACACUUAUAAAAAAAUGGAAACUCUCUUCAUUUCCAUUCUUUAUACCUAGGUCACUAUUUUUUUUACACACAUGCCCUAAAUUAUUACAGCACAGCCAACUGGAAGACAUAAAAUGAGUAAGCAUAUAAAUACAUAGAUGCAGCAUGAAGAUAACAUUCAAUUUGUUUUUUACUCAAGGCCUAACAUGUGAGGACCAUAAACCAGAGGAUUUCGUUAUAUGGACAAAAUAAUAAAUCAUGAUUUUAAAGCCAAUCAUCCUGUCUUACUCAGAUAAAAUUUUCAAUUACCAAAAAACAACCAGAAAUCAAGAUACCACAACUAACUAAAAAGUUGCAGAGAUGAAAUUUUAGCCUAAAGUGGCAUCUGGGGUAAAGCAUCAGAAAGAAGAGGGUCAUAAUACACAUUACCAAGAUGGAAAUAAAAAGAGAUUAUUGACUCAAUUUUUCAUUGGGGCAUUUUGUGAAACACUAAAAAGACACAAACAACCCAAAAUAAUACUCCAUAACCAGAUUCCUAAUCUAAUAAAAAAAUAUGCGAAUGCUACAAAGGUAGUUAACACCUCAUGUAAAUGUUAAAUUAAAAUCAAUAGGAUUAAAAAAAGUACCUCAAGAUAAACCUUCUGUCCACUGUGGCAUUCUCCGAUUUGUGUGAAUGUAAAAAUGUCAAUGAAAAAACUUCAAUAUGGGAAGCCCACGCAGAAUAUCGUUCUUGAUUUCUCUGUUUUGCUUCAAGAUUCCGGAGGUUUUAUUUGCUGAAAUCAAACGAAUGAAUAUUUCAAGUGUUCCCUUCAAAGAGGUUGGGGUAAAAGUUGAUAUUGGGGGUGAGAGGCUUCGGUUUCAAGAAACAAAGGCAGUAGAGGAGAAGUUACAAGUGAAAUGUUCAAUCAAGAAGGGAAAAUAAGAAGGAAGCAGCAGGCUAGGUGGCGUGAGAUGAACGAUUAAGUACUAUUUCCUUUGAAACUUGUAAGCAAGUCAGAUGACAUAUGUUUGUAGAGUGGACACCAAUGCCUGAAGAAAAAACGGAGCGCAUGAGAAGGAGAACAAUUCUUGAUAUCAAUUUAUUUUAGAAGUGAGAUUGUUUAUAGGAGCACAAGAGAAAAACGAUUAAUAUCAAAAAAUUCAAGUGUACCUUGAUACGCAUAAAAACACUAUAGAAACCGCAAGUGUUUCAGAAAAGGAGGAAGGGCAUAAGAAAAGAAUGACCCCAAGAGGAAAACGACUAACUUUCUCAUAAUUUCAAGAAAGAAGAAAUAUGAAAGAGUUCAGGCGUCUGAAACCCUCUUUUUCGAGUCAGUUAGUGCUCCAACAUGUUUGAAGAUCAUGAUUUUAAUUAAACAAAAUCUUAUGCAUUAAUUAGGCUAUAUAGUGUAUGCCUAUGUGAAAUCUUUUUAUUUAUCGAUAAUCAUUUAUCUUUGGAAAAUUGAGUAAUCCAGCCACUUUGUAAUCGUUUUUUAGAAAUAAUAACCACAAUAAAAGUACUCUUGAAAAAUAAUCAUUCGGUCCCAUAUGACCCAUUCCAGACCCGUAUUUUAAAUGGAUAACCGGAUAUAGUGAUCACAACCCCGGUAAUGUGGCUCCUUUAUAAAUAACAUUUUGAACCUAGUUCAAACUCAUAUUCAUUCCACACAACAUUUUGGACACCAAACCAACUCAAACAAUAUCUUCUAGCAAUGGAGAUAUUCAUUUUUUUGUGAGUAUCUUCCCAUUACUUUUAUAAUGCGAAAUCUGCAAUAGAGUCCUUCCUCUUUUUUUUUCAAUUUAGCCCCUAAAACCGGUAAACACUUGCUAGAAAACCAUUGUUCC